rnacentral:rRNA from 1 species
GAUGAACGCUAGCUACAGGCUUAACACAUGCAAGUCGAGGGGUAACGAGAGGGAAGCUUGCUUUCCUUGUCGACGACCGGCGCACGGGUGAGUAACGCGUAUCCAACCUGCCCCCAACUAGGGAAUAACCUUGCGAAAGUAAGACUAAUACCCUAUAAUUUCCUCAGAUGUCAUCUGACGAGGAAUAAAGAUUUAUCGGUGGUGGAUGGGGAUGCGUCUGAUUAGCUGGUUGGCGGGGUAAGGCCCCACCAAGGCAACGAUCAGUAGGGGUUCUGAGAGGAAGGUCCCCCACAUUGGAACUGAGACACGGUCCAAACUCCUACGGGAGGCAGGAGUGAGGAAUAUUGGUCAAUGGGCGGAAGCCUGAACCAGCCAAGUAGCGUGCAGGAUGACGGCCCUAUGGGUUGUAAACUGCUUUUAUACAGGAAUAAAGUUAGCCACGUGUGGUUAUUUGUAGGUACUGUAUGAAUAAGGACCGGCUAAUUCCGUGCCAGCCGCCGCAGUAA